rnacentral:rRNA from 1 species
GACGAACGCUGGCGGCGUGCUUAACACAUGCAAGUCGAACGGUGAAGCGCCUUCCUUUUUGGUGGGUGUGGAUGAGUGGCGAACGGGUGAGUAACACGUGAGUAACCUGCCCCCUUCUUCUGGAUAACCGCAUGAAAGUGUGGCUAAUACGGGAUAUUCUGGGUCUGUCGCAUGAUGGGUCUGGGAAAGAUAUUGUUUCGGUGGGGGAUGGGCUCGCGGCCUAUCAGCUUGUUGGUGGGGUGAUGGCCUACCAAGGCGGUGACGGGUAGCCGGCCUGAGAGGGUGGACGGUCACACUGGGAAUGAGACACGGCCCAGACUCCUACGGGAGGCAGCAGUGGGGAAUAUUGCACGAUGGGCGCAAGGCUGAUGCAGCGACGCCGCGUGAGGGAUGGAGGCCUUCGGGUUGUGAACCUCUUUCGCCAGUGAAGCAGGCCUGCCUCGUUUGUGGGUGGGUUGACGGUAGCUGGAUAAGAAGCGCCGGCUAACUACGUG